AACCUCCGCAAUGUGAGAAAUCGCGACGGGGGGAUCCCAAGUGCCAUUCUUAACGGGAUGGCUUUUCAUUAGUGUAAAGAGCUUUUGGAAUAAGGGCUGGGCAAGACCGGUGCCAGCCGCCGCGGUAACACCGGCAGCUCUAGUGGUAGCAGUUUUUAUUGGGCCUAAAGCGUCCGUAGCCGGUUUAAUAAGUCUCUGGUGAAAUCCUGUAGCUUAACUGUGGGAAUUGCUGGAGAUACUAUUAGACUUGAGACCGGGAGAGGUUAGAGGUACUCCCAGGGUAGAGGUGAAAUUCUGUAAUCCUGGGAGGACCGCCUGUUGCGAAGGCGUCUAACUGGAACGGUUCUGACGGUGAGGGACGAAAGUUAGGGGCGCGAACCGGAUUAGAUACCCGGGUAGUCCUAACCGUAAACGAUGCGGACUUGGUGUUGGGGUGGCUUUGAGCUGCUCCAGUGCCGAAGGGAAGCUGUUAAGUCCGCCGCCUGGGAAGUACGGUCGCAAGACUAGAAUUUAAAAGGAUU
rnacentral:rRNA from 1 species